GCCUGGGUGGCUCAGUCGGUUGAGCUUCCGACUUCGGCUCAGGUCACGAUCUCGCGGUCCGUGAGUUCGAGCCCCGCAUCAGGCU
rnacentral:tRNA from 1 species